UUGCAGGGAAUCUGGACUGUUACUUUGAAAAAUUAGAGUGUUUAAAGCAGGCUAACGCUUGAAUACAUUAGCAUGGAAUAAUGAAAUAGGACGUUCGAUCCUAUUUUGUUGGUUUCUAGGAUUGACGUAAUGAUUAAUAGGGAUAGUUGGGGGCAUUAGUAUUCAAUUGUCAGAGGUGAAAUUCUUGGAUUUAUUGAAGACUAACUACUGCGAAAGCAUUUGCCAAGGAUGUUUUCAUUAAUCAAGAACGAAAGUUAGGGGAUCGAAGACGAUCAGAUACCGUCGUAGUCUUAACCAUAAACUAUGCCGACUAGGGAUCGGAUGAUGUUAAUUUUUAAUGACUCAUUCGGCGCCUUACG
rnacentral:rRNA from 1 species